AAUGUGUUACGAAUUUGUGCAUUUUACCGUAGAGAUAUUUCUGUACGGGGCUGAGUGGAAGAUUCGUGAGGGGGGGUGGGGGUAGGCCGGGCGCUCUCGGCCCACCCCCCUCGACAGUUACGUUACACUCGUAGUUACAUGAAUUGAUAGCGGUUAUAAAUCGUCGUUCAAAUUGCGGUUAGACAAAUAAUUAUUACGAUAGUGGAUAUUAAUGUUGAUACUCGAUUGUAAUCUUGUCUGUAUUUUAUGUUUAGUGUUCGUUGUUCAAAAUUAACAUGAAAAAUUGUGCCCCCCCCCCCGAAAAAAAAACAACUCUAUAUCCGUCACCGACUACGGACAUGGUACGCGAACAUUUUUUCCGCGUUAAUAUUUGAUUUGAAUCUGUUAAUGUCAGCGGUCCCCAACCUAUGGUCCGCGAGACAUUUUGGUGGUCCACGAGGCCAUAAUACCC